GAUGAACGCUGGCGGCGUGCCUAAUACAUGCAAGUCGAGCGAACGGACGAGAAGCUUGCUUCUCUGAUGUUAGCGGCGGACGGGUGAGUAACACGUGGAUAACCUACCUAUAAGACUGGGAUAACUUCGGGAAACCGGAGCUAAUACCGGAUAAUAUUUUGAACCGCAUGGUUCAAAAGUGAAAGACGGUCUUGCUGUCACUUAUAGAUGGAUCCGCGCUGCAUUAGCUAGUUGGUAAGGUAACGGCUUACCAAGGCAACGAUGCAUAGCCGACCUGCGAGGGUGAUCGGCCACACUGGAACUGAGACACGGUCCAGACUCCUACGGGAGGCAGCAGUAGGGAAUCUUCCGCAAUGGGCGAAAGCCUGACGGAGCAACGCCGCGUGAGUGAUGAAGGUCUUCUGAUCGUAAAACUCUGUUAUUAGGGAAGAACAUAUGUGUAAGUAACUGUGCACAUCUUGACGGUACCUAAUCAGAAAGCCACGGCUAACUACGUG
rnacentral:rRNA from 1 species